rnacentral:rRNA from 1 species
UACGUAGGGUGCAAGCGUUGUCCGGAAUUAUUGGGCGUAAAGAGCUCGUAGGCGGUUUGUCGCGUCUGCUGUGAAAACGCGAGGCUCAACCUCGCGCCUGCAGUGGGUACGGGCAGACUAGAGUGCGGUAGGGGAGAUUGGGAUUCCGUGGUGUAGCGGUGGAAUGCGCAGAUAUCAGGAGGAACACCGAUGGCGAAGGCAGAUCUCUGGGCCGUUACUGACGCUGAGGAGCGAAAGCGUGGGGAGCGAACAGG